rnacentral:rRNA from 1 species
UACGGAGGAUGCAAGCGUUAUCCGGAAUGAUUGGGCGUAAAGCGUCCGCAGGUGGCUGUGUAAGUCUGCUGUUAAAGAGCAAGGCUCAACCUUGUAAAGGCAGUGGAAACUACACGGCUAGAGUGCGUUCGGGGCAGAGGGAAUUCCUGGUGUAGCGGUGAAAUGCGUAGAGAUCAGGAAGAACACCAACGGCGAAAGCACUCUGCUGGGCCGACACUGACACUGAGAGACGAAAGCUAGGGGAGCGAAUGGG